CAGUGAGCUGAAUCAAGGAACUGGUUUAGUUGAAAGGUAACCUAGCAGCAGGAAAGUGUUCAAAUUUCAGCACCCGGUUCUGUUUAUUCUCCACGGGAAGCAAAAUCAAAUUAAUCACAGAAAAGUGCAACUACGCUAAUUCUCAGCAUGUUUAAUGAACUUGUUCUUAAAGAUCCUAAGAUGAAGUUAUUGAUGUUUUCAAAGGGAGUGACCGACUCUCACAGCAGACCAGUGUGCAGUAGAAUUUGACUACGUUAAGUCUAAGUUCUGCUGUCCCUCCAUGUACAUCUAGGACAUUUCCACCUGUCCAACAGAUAUGGAUUUACAGAGAGCAAACUGAGUUUGGCAAGAAAUUAUUUUCAGGGGAGAGAGACGACUGCCUGGAUUUUCAAAGUAAAUAUAAGCUGCCGAUGAAUGCCUUGAUUAUGCAGAAAGAUGAACCUGAAUAAGCGUGGAUAGCCUUGACAGGAUGCAGACAUGCAGACUAAUGAGGCAGACAACAUGCUUUCCAGAACAUUGCUAACCCGUGCUCCAUGAUCAUCGCUUCAGCAUUGCAAAGAUUUGCAAGAAAGCACCGCAGAUUUGGAUACUGAAUAUGCAAGCUGUACAUGCAAUGGCCAACUGCCGUCCUCCCAACAAUAAAUUGGAGCUGUCACAGAUGCAAUUACUGUGUAAAAGUUAGAACGGAAGAGAUGGAAGAAGUAGCUAAGGGGUUUUCUUCAGCCUUAAGAGACUUGGGAGCAGAAAGAAUAGAAUUGCUAUUAAACUUUCUCUCUGAUAUUUAAUGACUUGUACAAGCAGAAGCAAAGGAUUUAUUUUCUUAUGUAUAACAACAAGAAAAUAAUGGUAAAAGUAUUCAGACUAGUUUUUGUUUAUUCGUAGGAAACAAAUCACUUGCCAUUGUAAGUUUAGGAAAACGUGUUGCAAAUAAAAUGUUCACACUAAACUAUCCAUUUCAUGAAAAUUGGCUUUAAACGUAUUUUUUUCUUUUUUAAAUAACAGUGACUCUUGAUUAUAAAAUGUAACUCCUUCAUAUUUUUUAAAGAUAAUAAUGACCCCAUCUGAUUUAAGGUUAGAUAGAGGCUACCUUUUGAUUCUGAUCUAAUUGGGAAUAAAGUAAACCUUCACAGUGGCUUUACUACGCUAGGAAACUAAACCAUUCAAUAUGACAAUAGGUAACAUUUCUGAUAGUGUUUUUCUUUUUUUCUUUCUCAUAUUUAUCAACUCUCUGAUACCUAAUAUGUAAUAUUUAAGUGUUGUCAUGGUUGAGAUACCAGGUAUCACAUAAACUUGCCACAUCAUGUUUAUGGUCUCCAUAUAAUGAUUAUAAACAUUUCUUCAUAAAGUUUUUUGUUAAAGAUGUUUUAUGAGUUUCACAGACAAUGUCAAACUUUGGUCUGAAAAGUUUAUUUUCCCUGCAUAUUCUCUAGAACCAUCUGUUAAAUCAUCCUACAUGUAUUACCAUUAUUUUUUUUAUGCUGCAGCAAUAUGGACAAAUCUUAUCUGAAAUACUGAAAUUGGAGAAGCUUUACUGUAAUUUUUUUUCUUUAUGCAUACACUGAAACACACAUUUUUGUCUCUGCUGGAUUCAGCCUUUUCAAUACAAGAAAUGGCUCAGAAUUUUGAUUUACAGUCUAUUAAUAAUAAUAUCCAGUGGGCUUGCUUAGCAAACUCUUUAUACUUCUGCCAUCAGCAAUGUUACCUGAGAUACUAUAAGCAAGUCAAAUUCAAUUCAUUUCUGAUCUCUGUGGGUACGAUCUCUGGCCAAGACAAUUUUCUUUCUGGCAGAGGGAAGUGUCUAUAGCUAUUACAAGGUUGGUUAACCUAUAUAAUGUGUGGUAAAAAUGAGAAACUUUCUCUGUAUCCAGCUGGUUAUUAAUAAAGAACAAAUCCUCUUACGCUGUCAGCAACACUUUGCUAGAAUCAAAGUCAAAUUGGUGACUGACCAUCUGUCUCUGCGCAUACGUAUUUCACACAGUUCAUGCCUUACUGGUCCAUCAGAUCUCACCUUGAAUCAGAAUAAUUAACCACGUCAAGCCAAUUUGACCUAGCCAAAACCACCAAGACUUCUAAUGUUGACCUCAAUGUAGCUGUGUUGGUCCUGGUUUCAAAUAGUAGUUUCUGUUACCUUGGAUCACUCUGUUCAUUUUUAUUUCGAGUAUGUAAAAAAAUAUAUUUAUUCAGGUUCGUAAGAUGCUGUCACAACUUUACCAUAUGAAAUUUACGUUUUACAUUAUGCAGUGAGACUUGUUUUCAAGCUGUUGACAGUGCACUAUAUACCCUUAGAGCAGUUUUCCGUGCCUGGCUUCACUUCAGUACAGAGAAGAUUUUAUUCAGAUGGAGGUUUUCAACCAUUGAUUUGAAGUAUGGAAUAAAAAAUGGACCUUUCUUAGAGAGAUAAGUAAGUGCUUUAUUUGCUUACAACUUUCGUCCAAUAGCAUGUAAUGCAUGGCAGAAGAAGUAUUGUCAGGCUCUCAGGGAUGCUUACACAACACAACAGUAAAGUUUGCUUUCUUUGGCUCACAACCACAGUCUCAGCUGGUUUACAAUGCAAGACCUCUGCAAACUUCAGUGAGCUUACGUCAGGAAAUCAGUUUGUUAUCAGUCUUAUCCCACCUAGUCAAGGAAAUAAUUUUUUUUUAUGAAAAUAAAAGUAAAGAGAAUUAUGGAUAAGAGCAGGAGAGGAUUUUGUGUUUAAUGUGUUGAAUGACAGAAAGCUGUAAGUAAAUAGAAUUAGUGAGACUGAUUUUCGUAUACUGUGUCAAUUGAAGCUGGAACUCCUAUGCUUGGAUACCAGUUUUCUCAAUCAACUUGUCACUAAAAUACUCCAUCUAAAUUAAGCAGAAUUAUAAGCAGUAAAUAUAAAUGAUAUUCCCCCCUUUUUUCUGAAGAUAACUUAAAAUGGGAUUAAAGCAUACGAUAAACUGCAUAAAAGAGGAAAGAUGGAAUCUGUUCUCCAGGCCCACAGUAGACAAGACCAGUUAUAAUAGGCUUAAAUUCUGUGAGGAAUAUUCAGAUUAAAUAUUAAAAAGCACUUUCUUAUGGUAAAGAUACUGAAGCAGUAGAAUAGAUUGUUUGAAUUCACCACCACGGGUGAUCUUUGAGGAGAGAGUAGAGAGAUUUCCAGCCUGCCAGAAUCAACUGGGUAAGAAUGCACACAAACCACCAAUUCUCUGAAAAUGCCAACAUUUAGAGCUGUACCCAGACCCAAAUGUCAAAUAUCUAGAUGGUGGUGGGGGGAGCGGGUAUGUGUCUGGAUAAUGAGUGUUUUUCCUCCAUUUUAGAGAAAAGGAACAAAAUUGAUUUUUAACCCCCUUCUAGAAUCAGACUUCCCUUAAAAAUACAGCUCUGAGUAUAUAAAAAUCUAUAUGUCAUUAAGCAAUUAAAGUUUAAGGGAGACUCUGAGGCAGGCCAAAAAAAAAAUAAAAUAAAAGACUUUUGGUGCAGGUCUUGAUCCACCUGCCCUAUAGGCAAAUUAAAAAACUCAUUGUACCUUUAAAGUUCCUGAUAAGGGGAAAAAAGAGCAGACAGACUCAGAGAAUGGGAAAUAUGACUCCAUUUGGAAGAGCUGCUUUCUAUAAGAAAAAAAGGGUGCUGCUGUUGACUAUGCUUUUUCUGAUCUGUAACUAGUUGAGAAUUUUUGUCUCAAGGCUGUCAGGAUGUUACCUCUAAGCAGCACUAAUUCCUACAGAAGUUAUAAGGAAAAAAAGUCAG